rnacentral:rRNA from 1 species
GCCAAACCGCGAAUGGCUCAAAACACCAGACUUAGUUCCUUAGAUCUUACACGGUUACUUGGAUAACUGUGGUAAUUCUAGAGCUAAUACAUGCAAUCUGAGCUCUGACUUCGGAAAGAGUGCUUUUAUUAGAUCAAAACCGAUCGGCCGCGGUUCGCCGCGCGCCGUUUCCACCGAUGAAUCUGAAUAACUUUGCGGAUCGCACGGUCUCGCACCGGCGACGUAUCUUUCAAAUGUCUGCCUUAUCAACUUUCGAUGGUAGUUUCUACGACUACCAUGGUUGUCACGGGUAACGGGGGAUUAGGGUUCGAUUCCGGAGAGGGAGCCUGAGACACGGCUACCACAUCCAAGGAAGGCAGCAGGCGCGCAAAUUACCCACUCCGGCACGGGGAGGUAGUGACGAAAAAUAACGGUACGGGACUCUUAUGAGGCCUCGUAAUCGGAAUGAGUACACUUUAAAUAUUUUAACGAGGAACAAUUGGAGGGCAAGUCUGGUGCCAGCAGCCGCGGUAAUUCCAGCUCCAAUAGCAUAUUCUAGAAUUGUUGCGGUUAAAAAGCUCGUAGUUGCAUUUGUGUGCCGCACUGCCGGUCCAUCGUUCACGGCGUGCGACUGGUAGACUUGCGGGGCAUAUCGCCGGUGAGCCUCCGGUAAAACGGGGGCUCAACUGAAAAUCCUGCUGCGUGCUCUUCGCUGAGUGUCGAGAUGGGCCGGCAAUUUACUUUGAACGAAUUAGAGUGCUCAAAGCGGCUAUCGUUUAUUUUUGCAUGGAAUAAUGGAAUACGACCUCGGUUCUAUUUUGUUGGUUUUAGAGACCAGGAUAAUGAUCAAUGGAAGCAACUGGGGGCAUUCGUAUUGCGACGUUAGAGGUGAAAUUCUUGGAUCGUCGCAAGACGGACCACAGCGAAAGCAUUUGCCAAAGGUGUUUUCAUCAAUCAAGAACGAAAGUUAGAGGUUCGAAGGCGAUUAGAUACCGCCCUAGUUCUAACCAUAAAUGAUGCCAGCCAGCGAUCCGCCGACGUUAACUCUAAUGGCUCGGCGGGCAGCUU